rnacentral:rRNA from 1 species
AUUGAACGCUGGCGGCAGGCUUAACACAUGCAAGUCGAGCGAGCGGCGGACGGGUGAGUAAUGUCUGGGAAACUUGCUGAUGGAGGGGGAUAACUACUGGAAACGGUAGCUAAUACCGCAUACCAUCAGAUGUGCCCAGUUGGGAUUAGCUAGUAGGCGGGGUAAUGGCUCACCUAGGCGAGGAUCCCGAGCUGGUCUGAGAGGAUGACCGGCCACACUGGAACGGAGAAACGGUCCAGACUCCUACGGGAGGCGGCAGUGGGGAAUAUUGCACAAUGGGCGCAAGCCUGAUGCAGCCAGGCCGCGUGUGUGAAGAAGGCCUUCGGGUGGUAAAGCACUUUCAGCGAGGAGGCGUUACUCGCAGAGAAAGCACCGGCUAACUCCGUGCCAGCAGCCGCGGUAAUUC